AGUGAACGCUGGCGGUAGGCCUAACACAUGCAAGUCGAACGGCAGCACAGUAAGAGCUUGCUCUUACGGGUGGCGAGUGGCGGACGGGUGAGGAAUACAUCGGAAUCUACUUUUUCGUGGGGGAUAACGUAGGGAAACCUACGCUAAUACCGCAUACGACCUACGGGUGAAAGCAGGGGAUCUUCGGACCUUGCGCGAUUGAAUGAGCCGAUGUCGGAUUAGCUAGUUGGCGGGGUAAAGGCCCACCAAGGCGACGAUCCGUAGCUGGUCUGAGAGGAUGAUCAGCCACACUGGAACUGAGACACGGUCCAGACUCCUACGGGAGGAAGCAGUGGGGAAGAUUGGACAAUGGGCGCAAGCCUGAUCCAGCCAUACCGCGUGGGUGAAGAAGGCCUUCGGGUUGUAAAGCCCUUUUGUUGGGAAAGAAAAGCAGCAGGUUAAUACCCCGCUGUUCUGACGGUACCCAAAGAAUAAGCACCGGCUAACUUCGUG
rnacentral:rRNA from 1 species